UAUAGUAAGAGAAAUGUAACUGGAGGAAGAGAGCCUCCUCUGGGUCUGGGGGAGGGGGAGGAAAGACCCCCACACCCAGGGACAGGCUCACAUGAUGGUGCAGGGAGCACCGCCCCUGCAGAGGAGCGGGGCGUCGGCAGGGACGGCGGGGGCAGCAGCCCCAUAUUCACAUGAUGAUGAUGAUGAUGAUGGGGGCACCGCCCCUGCCAAGGGGGAGGCCGUCGGCAGGGGCGGCGGGGGCAGCAGCCCCAUAUUCACAUGAUGAUGAUGAUGGGGGCACCGCCCUUGCCAAGGGGGAGGCCGUCGGCAGGGGCGGCGGGGGCAGCAGCCCCAUAUUCACAUGAUGAUGAUGAUGAUGAUGGGGGCACCGCCCUUGCCAAGGGGGAGGCCGUCGGCAGGGGCGGCGGGGGCAGCAGCCCCAUAUUCACAUGAUGAUGAUGAUGAUGAUGAUGGGGGCACCGCCCUUGCCAAGGGGGAGGCCGUCGGCAGGGGCGGCGGGGGCAGCAGCCCCUUAUUCACAUGAUGAUGAUGAUGAUGAUGGGGACACCGCCCUUGCCAAGGGGGAGGCCGUCGGCAGGGGCGGCGGGGGCAGCAGCCCCAUAUUCACAUGAUGACAGACAAACUCGCGAGUCGGGACAAAGACGACGAUGAAGACAUGACGAACAUACAGGUGACUACACGGUGGGAGGGGCCGCGAGUCUGACAAAGACGACGAUGAAGACAGGACGAACAUACAGGUGACUACACGGUGGGAGGGGCCGCGAGUCUGACAAAGACGACGAUGAAGACAGGACGAACAUACAGGUGACUACACGGUGGGAGGGGCCGCGAGUCUGACAAAGACGACGAUGAAGACAGGACGAACAUACAGGUGACUACACGGUGGGAGGGGCCGCGAGUCUGACAAAGACGACGAUGAAGACAUGACGAACAUACAGGUGACUACACGGUGGGAGGGGCCGCGAGUCUGACAAAGACGACGAUGAAGACAGGACGAACAUACAGGUGACUACACGGUGGGAGGGGCCGCGAGUCUGACAAAGACGACGAUGAAGACAGGACGAACAUUCACACACACAGAUCGCCGCGGUGGGUCGUGCAGUCCGCGGCGGAGGGUGGUGGCGUAGUCCCUCCUGCUGCUGCUGGCGUGGACAACCAGGGCGUGUUGAGGGCCGCCGUGGUCGUGGUGGCGGCGGAUGUGGCUCGGUGGCCGAGGAGCAGCACGGCUUCGUGGUGUACGGGUCCCCAUAGUACAGAGACGAGGCGGUGCUCUCCGUGGGGCCGCCAGGUCCGGACCAGGACGGGAUCUCGCGGCGCCGAUGGUUGCGUCCAAACCAACAGUUUAACCCAAAGAAAAAGAAAAUACAGGUGAUGAGAGAAAUGUUGUGCUCGGGACAAUGUCAGAUGUGAAGAGGGGCGAGGGUUAUGGUGAAGGGAAGAUGGCUGUGUUGAUGGGGGCCGAUGACGAAAGCCGGAAAUUGAGUCUCUCCUCCCCCCUCCCUUCGACCGAACCAACUCUAACCAAACAAUUCCAACUAAACAGACAUACUUAGACAAUAACAACCAGAGAGACAGACAAACAGACCGACACGUUGCAUGGGAAGACUAGUAAGGGUGUAGGCGCAGACAAACAUACCUGUGGUCAUUUGCCCGUCCACACACCUCACAUUCCUUGCAACAAAACUUACCCACACGAGGCUGGCCAGGUGAAGCGAGCUGCGGAAGGCGGAGGUGUGACCGAGGCUGAUGGCAGUGUUUAGUAAUCUGGCAGCCACGCCCCUAUAGCCUUCUCCUUCCUCACCCUUUCCUCUCUUCCCUCACCCCAUCCCCCUCAUCCUUCACCGUAUUCCCCUCGUCCCUUACUCUAUCCCUCUCCUCCUUUUCCCUAUCUUCUCCACCCUCAACCUAAUCCCUCCUCCCUUCCCCUCCUCCCACAACACUCGCCUUAAGUAAUUGAGGGGUGUACCUUUGUGUGUGUCGCUGUGUACCAUGUGGCCUUGGUAUUCACGUCUGUGCUAAUAACUCCUGAAGGGCAGGUAACUCCAUUAGCGCUAAGAGGUGGUGCAGAGGCGACGCGCGGGGCGUAUCAUGCACGGCUGGUGUGUUGAUGACGGCUACUCGUGU